CCUUCCGUAGGUGAACCUGCGGAAGGAUCAUUAAAUAAUCAAUAAUUUUGGCUUGUCCAUCAUUAUCUAUUUACUGUGAACUGUAUUAUUACUUGACGCUUGAGGGAUGUUCCAAUGCUAUAAGGAUAGGCACUGGAAAUGUUAACCGAGUCAUAAUCAAGCUUAGGCUUGGUAUCCUAUUAUUAUUUACCAAAAGAAUUCAGAAUUAAUAUUGUAACAUAGACGUAAAAAAUCUAUAAAACAACUUUUAACAACGGAUCUCUUGGUUCUCGCAUCGAUGAAGAACGUAGCAAAGUGCGAUAACUAGUGUGAAUUGCAUAUUCAGUGAAUCAUCGAGUCUUUGAACGCAACUUGCGCUCAUUGGUAUUCCAAUGAGCACGCCUGUUUCAGUAUCAAAACAAACCCUCUAUCCAACUUUUGUUGAAUAGGAUGACUGAGAGUCUCUUGAUCUAUUCUGAUCUUGAACCUCUUGAAAUAUACAAAGGCCUGAUCUUGUUUGAAUGCCUGAACUUUUUUUUAAUAUAAAGAGAAGCUCUUGCGAUAAAACUGUGCUGGGGCCUCCCAAAUAACACAUCUUAAAUUGAUCGAAAUCAGUGGUCCCA
rnacentral:rRNA from 1 species